CUGAAAUAUUCACUCGGUCAUUUCCUGGUCGAUUCUGGUGUUCUUCGCUGUGAUUAUUGAAAGGUUAGACGCUUUAGCUGCCUGCUUCAUGGAUUUAUUUGAACAAAAAUCUGGAAAAAAGGAAUAAAUAUUUACAGAUCUGGAUUUAGAUCUACAUGCCGGCAGGAUGACAAGAAAACUAAAAAAGAUGCAAGUGAGAGAACAAAAUGCAGUUGAAGAAAAAGAAAAGCAGAGAAAGAAAACAGCACUGAGAGACAAAGCCAAACUUGCACACAAGAAAAAAACAAUGAAGAGAGGAAAAGAAAAUGCCUGUGGAUUCAGAGAACAUCUAAAAGUGCACCAGAUGAACAGCUCUGAAAUAAAUCGACCAAACUUCUCUCCCCAUCCAGUCUGACCUCCAGAGUGUCAUUUUAUGUGAGAGAAAUUCAAACAUGAGAAAGAAGCCGUUUUCUCACCUAUAGAAUGUUCUUCACAUCCCUUUAAGUUAAUGAUUCAGAAAGACACUGGAAUACAAAACAACAAUAUUUUUAGAGUUCAUAACUUGAUGACUAUAACUGUACUGUGAACAUAUUUAAACUUAUUUAGCUUUAAUAUUGUGUGCACAUGUGUCAUAUGAUCAGACGAUGUUAGAGAAGUAACACUGAAAUCAAAUGUUUGAACUGUUUUGAACUGUAGCUGUACCUUGUUCUCAUUUCAAGUAUGAACAACAGUGAAAACAAUGACUGUGAAGCAAUAGUUGUUCCAGAAAUGCCAGUUCGCUUAUUUCCAUGUGAUUAUACACUUGCUAAAGCUGCAUGGUUUUCUUUGUGGACAAAUCUAGAUUUUAACUAGUGACUUCAGGCACUUUAUUCUGGCAUGCAGGAAAUGGUUAUCUUUCUUUAAAUGUGUCAUUACUGUACUCAUACUUUCCAUUUAGGUGUUUUUAUCUGAAGAAUCUGGUGUCAGGUUUCUCAUGGAGCUGCACUACGAUCUCUGUUUUUUGAGUUACAUGAACUAAAUGAUCCGGGUAUUAUGUUUCUGUAUUAUUUUGAUUCUGUUCACUUUGUGAAAGGUUAUGAAAGUGUCCAAGUAUACAUUACACUGUCCUUAUUCCUGAACAGGUGUUUGUUUUCAGUCAUUAUAAUGACUACCCAAAAGUGUCUGUUGCUUUGCAACGCACAAUAAAUAUUUCACUUUAGCCAACAAAUAUGACCUUCUAAAGAUUGACUUUUUACAUAUGGAGAUAUAAAAUAUCUAAAAGAAAUCAAUAAUAAAUAUGAAUGCCUAGUUGUCAGGUUACUAGUGAUAAAUAAACAAGUAAAGAAAUAAGUGCAUGAUCAUGUAUAAAUGUUCAAACCUAAAACAAAUAU